GACAGAGGGGGCAAGCGUUGUUCGGAAUUACUGGGCGUAAAGCGCGCGUAGGCGGUUUUGCAAGCCAGAGGUGAAAUGCCUGAGCUCAACUUAGGAAUUGCCUUUGGGACUGCGAGGCUUUGAGGACUGGAGAGGUGAGUGGAAUUCCCAGUGUAGAGGUGAAAUUCGUAGAUAUUGGGAAGAACACCGGUGGCGAAGGCGGCUCACUGGCCAGUUUCUGACGCUGCAGCGCGAAAGCGUGGGGAUCAAACAGG
rnacentral:rRNA from 1 species